AGAAUUUUUCACAAUGGGCGCAAGCCUGAUGGAGCGACGCCGCGUGGGGGAUGAAGGGUUUCGAUCCGUAAACCCCUGUCAUUUGCGAACAAACCUUAACCGUGAAUAGCGGUUGAGCUGAUUGUAGUGAAAGAGGAAGGGACGGCUAACUCUGUGCCAGCAGCCGCGGUAAUACAGAGGUCCCAAGCGUUGUUCGGAUUCACUGGGCGUAAAGGGUGCGUAGGUGGCCGGGUAAGUUCGGUGUGAAAGCUCGGAGCGCAACUCCGAAAUGGCAUUGAAUACUAUUCGGCUGGAGGGUCGGAGGGGAGACUGGAAUUCUCGGUGUAGCAGUGAAAUGCGUAGAUAUCGAGAGGAACACCAGUGGCGAAGGCGAGUCUCUGGACGACUCCUGACACUGAGGCACGAAAGCCAGGGGAGCAAAC
rnacentral:rRNA from 1 species